UACGGGGGGUGCGAGCGUUGUCCGGAAUCACUGGGCGUAAAGGGCGCGUAGGUGGUUUGAUAAGGGUGUGGUGAAAGUCCGGGGCUCAACCCCGGAUCUGCCGUGCCGACUGUCAAACUCGAGGGCUGUAGAGGCAGACGGAAUUCCGGGUGUAGCGGUGGAAUGCGUAGGGAUCCGGAGGAAGACCGGUGGCGAAGGCGGUCUGCUGGGCAGUUUCUGACACUGAGGCGCGACAGCGUGGGGAGCAAACAGG
rnacentral:rRNA from 1 species